rnacentral:rRNA from 1 species
AGAGAGAGACAUGCGCGCAUAUCAAUAAGCGGAGGAAAAGAAACUAACUAGGAUUCCCCUAGUAACGGCGAGUGAAGCGGGAAGAGCUCAAAUUUGAAAUCUUAAAGGGUUUCCCUUGACGAAUUGUAGUUUAAAGAAGUGUUUUCUGUUGGAGUUUUCGGUAAAAGUUCUUUGGAAUAGGACAUCAUAGAGGGUGAGAAUCCCGUAUUUGACCAUUACUUUCCAGCUGUGUGAUACACUUUCAAAGAGUCGGAUUGUUUGGGAAUGCAGUCCAAAGAUGGGUGGUAAAUUUCAUCUAAAGCUAAAUAUUGGCGAGAGACCGAUAGCGAACAAGUACCGUGAGGGAAAGAUGAAAAGAACUUUGAAAAGAGAGUUAAACAGUACGUGAAAUUGUCAAAAGGGAAGCGUUUGACACCAGUGUUGUUUAGUUCGAAAAUCAAUUACGAAUAGUUUUUGAUUCUGAGGAGUAUUGACUUCAUCAGCUUGCUGCUUUCUUCUCAGAAAUUAUUAAUGCACUUUUCAGGUUAACAAGUCAACAUCAAUUUCUUUUGUUGUAAAAGGGUAUGAGGAAGGUGGCUUUCUCUUCGGCGCAAGUGUUUAUAGCCUUGUAGCCUCUGCAAUCGGAGAGAUUGAGGUCUGCAGCGUAGAUCCUUCGGGGUUAGAUACGUUUGUGCUAAGCUAUAGCCUUUUCAUAGACAACUUGUUGACUAUGCUCAGUCAUGUAGCUUACUCGCUGAUGCUAUUUUACCUACGCUUAGGAUGUUGAUAGUCACAGCGUGUAC